UAGGUUAUUGCCAGGGUUUUUAUUUUUAUACUUUAAACUUUGAUUUUAUUUUUAUGUUUUUUAAAUAUUGGUGUUUUUGAAUGUGUUGUUUAAAUAACAUAAAAAAUAAAAUAUAUAUUGACAUGUAUUAAACAAAGAUAUAUAUUAUUUUAUGUUGUAUAAAUAAAUUGGCAAAAUAGAGAUGGAAGAUAAAAAUAAAAACCCUGGCAA
rnacentral:misc_RNA from 1 species